CAGGCAGGUGUGAGCCUGGUUGCUAUAGUGACUGCACCCAAUGGCUCCAUACACACGCACAGACAUGCACCUCACUUUUGCUGCUUAAAAUGAACAGAAAAGUCAGGCCGAAACAAAUCGCUCCCAAAUGAAAAGUACAGGUCGUAUUGACAAAAUUCUUUCACCGUGAGCGGCAGCAAUGUCCAGUCUACCUAAUUCUCAGUUUUCAUGCUUGUGGAGUUUAUUAUAUGGACGUGGUGACAGUGUAAAGACAGCCUGUACUUCUGGUUUUCAAACGAACCUUCUGAGCCAUUUUAACAUUAGAGUCUAUGGAGGAGUUGGAGGGAGGAGGCUGUGCAUUGGUGACAUUUAUGAAAGAACCAUAACACCUAGUACAAUAGUAAACACAUUGGAUGAAAGAGGACAGCGAUGGCUACGUUUUGAGGGUAAAAUCAUACCUGUAGACCAAACACCGUGGACACAGCAG
ensembl:lncRNA